rnacentral:ncRNA from 1 species
AAAGACUUAGUCCUAACCUUACCGUUAAUUCUUGCCAGACACAUACAUGCAAGUAUCCGCGCCCCAGUGUAAAUGCCCUUAGUCUCUUACUAAGAGAAAAGGAGCAGGUAUCAGGCACACACAGUUGUAGCCCAAAACGCCUUGCCCAGCCACACCCCCACGGGUACUCAGCAGUAGUUAACAUUAAGCAAUAAGUGCAAACUUGACUUAGUCAUGGCAACUCCAGGGUUGGUAAAUCUUGUGCCAGCCACCGCGGUCACACAAGAGACCCAAAUUAACUGUAUACGGCGUAAAGAGUGGUAUUGUGAUGUCCUACUAACUAGGGUUGAAAUGCAACUAAGCUGUCAUAAGCUCAAGACGCACCUAAAGCCACCUUUAAAAUGGCCCUAGUGCCCCCGACUAAUCUAACCCCACGAAAGCCAGGACACAAACUGGGAUUAGAUACCCCACUAUGCCCGGCCCUAAAUCUCGAUGCUCAUCUUACCUAAGCAUCCGCCUGAGAACUACGAGCACAAACGCUUAAAACUCUAAGGACUUGGCGGUGCCCCAAACCCACCUAGAGGAGCCUGUUCUAUAAUCGAUAACCCACGAUACACCCGACCACCCCUUGCCGAAGCAGCCUACAUACCGCCGUCGCCAGCUCACCUUCAUUGAGAGUGCAACAGUGAGCACAACAGCUAAACCCGCUAAUAAGACAGGUCGAGGUAUAGCCCACGGGGUGGAAGAUAUGGGCUACAUUUUCUAAAAUAGAAUAUCCACGAAAGAGGGCAUGAAAUAACCCUCAGAAGGCGGAUUUAGCAGUAAAGUGGGAUAAUAAAGCCCCCUUUAAGUCGGCCCUGGAGCACGUACAUACCGCCCGUCACCCUCCUCACAUAGCCACAAAGCCUCCAUAAUUAAUAUGCCCCGCGGCUGAAGAUGAGGUAAGUCGUAACAAGGUAAGUGUACCGGAAGGUGCACUUAGCAUAC